rnacentral:rRNA from 1 species
GAUCCAGACUUUGAUCAUGGCUCAGGAUGAACGCUAGCUACAGGCUUAACACAUGCAAGUCGAGGGGAAACGACAUCGAAAGCUUGCUUUUGAUGGGCGUCGACCGGCGCACGGGUGAGUAACGCGUAUCCAACCUGCCCACCACUUGGGGAUAACCUUGCGAAAGUAAGACUAAUACCCAAUGAUAUCUCUAGAAGACAUCUGAAAGAGAUUAAAGAUUUAUCGGUGAUGGAUGGGGAUGCGUCUGAUUAGCUUGUUGGCGGGGUAACGGCCCACCAAGGCAACGAUCAGUAGGGGUUCUGAGAGGAAGGUCCCCCACAUUGGAACUGAGACACGGUCCAAACUCCUACGGGAGGCAGCAGUGAGGAAUAUUGGUCAAUGGACGAGAGUCUGAACCAGCCAAGUAGCGUGCAGGAAGACGGCCCUAUGGGUUGUAAACUGCUUUUAUAAGGGAAUAAAGCGAGAGUCGUGACUCUUUUUGCAUGUACCUUAUGAAUAAGGACCGGCUAAUUCCGUGCCAGCAGCCGCGGUAAUACGGAAGGUCCGGGCGUUAUCCGGAUUUAUUGGGUUUAAAGGGAGCGUAGGCCGGAGAUUAAGCGUGUUGUGAAAUGUAGACGCUCAACGUCUGCACUGCAGCGCGAACUGGUUUCCUUGAGUACGCACAAAGUGGGCGGAAUUCGUGGUGUAGCGGUGAAAUGCUUAGAUAUCACGAAGAACUCCGAUUGCGAAGGCAGCUCACUGGAGCGCAACUGACGCUGAAGCUCGAAAGUGCGGGUAUCGAACAGGAUUAGAUACCCUGGUAGUCCGCACGGUAAACGAUGGAUGCCCGCUGUUGGUCUGAAUAGGUCAGCGGCCAAGCGAAAGCAUUAAGCAUCCCACCUGGGGAGUACGCCGGCAACGGUGCAACUCAAAUGAAUUGACGGA